GGUGCGUUCGCGGACUGUGGCCGGGGACGGUUCGUCGGCGUCCGCCUGGGGUGGUGUGGGUGGAAUUCUUGCGGGAGGAGACCGUGGGUGGGUGUUCUUCCGUGUUAGGGUGUCCGCUUGCGGUGCCCGUGGUCUCGGUCAGGAGGUGCUCUCGUAGUUCUUGGCCGGCGCCAGUUCGUACCCUCGGACUCUCAGGAAUGAAAGUUUUUGCGGAGAUGAAUGAGCCAGCCUAUCUAAUAGCAGUUUUCUGUUGAAGUUGCCGCCUUUUCUCUUUUGUCCUCCGAGAUUCCUUGCACAUUCCUCUUGGAUAUUUCUUUUCAGAUUCUGACGCAAGUAAAAUCUCUUAUCACACUGUACGUUCCGUUCACAAGGGAUAAUCCUUGUCAAAAUUUUAGUAGAUUUCAAUUUGAGGCUUUUAGAUUAUGUGCUUAAUAUUUAUAAUUCAGAUAAGUUGUGUAAAUGGUACUAUGAUUUUCUCCUUGGCCUUAUUUCAUAUAAUAAACACUUACAAAUUAUUUUUAAUGUGUGAACCGGUGAUAUUGUGAGUGGAUUCGUAUUAAGCAUUUGCUUAUGUAUAAUCUAUAUAGAGAUGAAAUGUUUGAGAUGUUUAGGUAUCAUUCGAGAGACAUUUUAUGAUUAUGCAUUUAUACCCUUGGAUUUGUUCCCCAGCUUUUCGUUCCCAAUAUAAACUGUUUAUUUUUAUUGCA